rnacentral:lncRNA from 1 species
UGAUUUCAGACAUCAGUAACUCAAUGAUGAUAUAGGUAUAUUUCAUCUUCGGUUUGAAAUAUUGUCAACAUAUUCAUAACAAUAGCAUGCUAAUAUCGUCUUGUAAUACCAGGAUUUAAAAUAGUCCGAUACCAUGUGUCAAUUGGCCGUCUUUAAGAGUCAGAUCAUAAUUAUGAGUUGAAACAACGUAAAAUCUGCAAAAUAACAUGCUAG